rnacentral:rRNA from 1 species
UACGGGAGGGUGCAAGCGUUAUCCGGAUUCACUGGGUUAAAGGGUGCGUAGGUGGCAGGUAAGUCAGUGGUGAAAUCUCCGGGCUUAACCCGGAACUGCCGUUGAUACUAUCUGUCUUGAAUAUAGUGGAGGUGAGCGGAAUAUGUCAUGUAGCGGUGAAAUGCUUAGAUAUGACAUAGACACCCAUUGCGAAGGCAGCUCGCUACACUAUCAUUGACACUGAGGCACGAAAGCGUGGGGAUCAAACAGG